CAAGCCAAAGGACUUCCUCUCUUCUUCCUCAAACCCAUGUUUUUCCCCAAAACUCUUCUCCCACCAUCUCUCACCCUCUAAAUCACCCUCUUGGAACCAAGCUCCUCUCUUUCUCCUUCUUCAUUGGGAGCGAGUCGAGCUUACCCUAGACUCUACCCGUCUUCUCCAAAUCGGCACUCCACUUCUCCAAAAUCCUUGUCUAUCCACUCAAAACCCUUCAUCUCUCCCUC
rnacentral:lncRNA from 1 species